UACGUAGGUGGCAAGCGUUAUUCGGAAUUAUUGGGCGUAAAGGGCGCGUAGGCGGCGCGAUAAGUCAAAGGUGAAAUCCCUCGGCUCAACUGAGGAACUGCCUUUGAAACUGUCGUGCUUGAGGCCGGGAGGGGGUAGCGGAAUUCCCAGUGUAGCGGUGAAAUGCGUAGAUAUUGGGAGGAACACCAGUGGCGAAGGCGGCUACCUGGACCGGUUCUGACGCUGAUGCGCGAAAGCGUGGGUAGCAAACAGG
rnacentral:rRNA from 1 species